rnacentral:lncRNA from 1 species
AUCUCCUUUCCCCUCCCUCACACACUCACACCAAUUGUGACACCUUUUCAAGGCUGUCCUUUAAUGUGUGUGUUUGGAAAGUAGAAAAGGAGGCGGCAAAGAAAUACACGUAAUACAAUUUACUCCAAGACCCAAGACUUAAGACCAUGUAUCAGAGAUGACUUCGCUUAGGGGUUCAGAAAAUUCACUGGCAGAAGUCCAAGAUUAAGGUGCCAGCACAUUUAGUUUCUGGCAAGGCGUCUGUUCCUGGCUUGCAAUGGUCACCUUCUGAAUGGAUCUUCACAUUGAUAGAAAAGAGCUAUACGACUCUUUCUCCUCCGUGAUGCCCCUCUGCCAUGCCACCCUACAUUGGAGCCAGCCAACUACGGACUGAAACCUCUACAAACUGUGGCUGCAAUAAAUCUUUCCUCCCUUAA